GAUGAACGCUGGCGGCGUGCCUAAUACAUGCAAGUCGAGCGAACAGAUGAGGAGCUUGCUCCUCUGACGUUAGCGGCGGACGGGUGAGUAACACGUGGAUAACCUACCUAUAAGACUGGGAUAACUUCGGGAAACCGGAGCUAAUACCGGAUAAUAUAUUGAACCGCAUGGUUCAAUAGUGAAAGACGGUUUUGCUGUCACUUAUAGAUGGAUCCGCGCCGCAUUAGCUAGUUGGUAAGGUAACGGUUUACCAAGGCAACGAUGCGUAGCCGACCUGAGAGGGUGAUCGGCCACACUGGAACUGAGACACGGUCCAGACUCCUACGGGAGGCAGCAGUAGGGAAUCUUCCGCAAUGGGCGAAAGCUUGACGGAGCAACGCCGCGUGAGUGAUGAAGGUCUUCGGAUCGUAAAACUCUGUUAUUAGGGAAGAACAAAUGUGUAAGUAACUAUGCACGUCUUGACGGUACCUAAUCAGAAAGCCACGGCUAACUACGUG
rnacentral:rRNA from 1 species